rnacentral:lncRNA from 11 species
UGAGGUUGACCCAAAAGCUCAGAUAAGGAGUCCAGCAGCUGUUACAGCAGAGGCAAAGUGUAUUGGUCAACUGGUUGUUCACAGAAAGAGCGCAUGAAUGAAGCCACAGUAGUCAUGAUCUCAAGGCAGAGGAUCUGAAGGUUUUUUUCCCCAUUUAAAAACAAGUGUGCAUCAUACUUAUUGUUACCUUCUGAUUUUGAAAUGAAGCAGUGAUCUUUCGCAAAAGGUGACAGACAACUGAAUUUACUUUCUUAUUAUUCAUUUUAUUAAAGAAAUGUUUUUUUAACAGAGGGAUUCAAAAACAAAUAUUG